AGUGGCGAACGGGUGAGUAACGUAUCGGAACGUACCUUUCAGUGGGGGAUAACGUAGCGAAAGUUACGCUAAUACCGCAUAUUCUGUGAGCAGGAAAGCAGGGGAUCGCAAGACCUUGCGCUGAUUGAGCGGCCGAUAUCAGAUUAGCUAGUUGGUGAGGUAAAGGCUCACCAAGGCGACGAUCUGUAGCGGGUCUGAGAGGAUGAUCCGCCACACUGGAACUGAGACACGGUCCAGACUCCUACGGGAGGCAGCAGUGGGGAAUUUUGGACAAUGGGGGCAACCCUGAUCCAGCCAUGCCGCGUGAGUGAAGAAGGCCUUCGGGUUGUAAAGCUCUUUCAGCCGGGAAGAAAUCACAUGGGUUAAUACCCUGUGUGGAUGACGGUACCGGAAUAAGAAGCACCGGCUAACUACGUGCCAGCAGCCGCGGUAAUACGUAGGGUGCGAGCGUUAAUCGGAAUUACUGGGCGUAAAGCGUGCGCAGGCGGUUUGUUAAGAUAGGCGUGAAAUCCCCGGGCUCAACCUGGGAACUGCGUUUAUGACUGGCAGGCUAGAGUAUGGCAGAGGGGGGUGGAAUUCCACGUGUAGCAGUGAAAUGCGUAGAGAU
rnacentral:rRNA from 1 species